rnacentral:lncRNA from 8 species
CCCCGACGUGACAGACUGGGAAAAUGUCCCUUAGCCCCUUUCCCUUGGGAAAUACAAGGAUUUACACAUUUGUUUAUGAGCCUACCUGUUAAAUUUUGUAGGCUACAUAAUUUAAAAGACAAGUGUCGCCACUUACUGAGGUGCGAUGGUUCCCACAGCAUCCUGUCUGAAUUGAUCAAAAUCGAAAACCAUAAACUGUCGAGUCUGUGCGUAAAAUGUUGUGCCAAUUAGAAUGCGCAAUACCAUUUGUGCCUGUGCUGCGUGUGCGGGGGAGACUGAUGGUCGUCGACUCUCGCCAAACACCUCACUUGUCAACUUUCACCAACAGCUCUUCGCCUUUCAGCCGUUGCCUACGAGACGCUGGUGGCAUGUGGUGCGGAUUGGCUACCCGAUGGGGAUGGGAGGAGUCCAAAGUCAAGUCUACCACCUACGGAUUUAAAAGUCGUGGAGAGACAAAAUUGUCACAUCGAGAAAAUAUCCUUCCUCAGUGACAGAUAGUAGAGAAACAACACGGUUCUUCCUGAUUAUUAUUUACAUCUGGACAAUCUCUGAGUUUCCUCCGUGUAGGCUUUUUACGCACAGCAGAAACUUGUGGAUUAAUACAAAUACUAAAUUAGUUGGGGGAACAGAGAACGUGAAAAUGGACGAAAAGGUAAUACAUAAUUCAUGUACCACUUUCAAGUGAUUGUAUUCGGUGUCUGUGAAAUAUAAUGUCAUUUGAUGAACAGCCUUAACCAUAGAUUU